rnacentral:rRNA from 1 species
AGAAUCAACGCUGGCGGCGUGCCUCAGACAUGCAAGUCGAACGCGAAAGUCCCCCUCGGGGGGCAAGUAGAGUGGCGCACGGGUGAGUAACACGUAGGUAAUCUACCUUCGGAUGGGGAAUAACAAUCGGAAACGAUUGCUAAUACCGCAUAAUGCAGCGGCACCUAAUGGUAACAGUUGUUAAAGCGGGGGAUCGAAAGACCUCGCGUCUGAAGAGGAGCCUGCGGCGGAUUAGCUAGUUGGUAAGGUAAUGGCUUACCAAGGCAACGAUCC